rnacentral:rRNA from 1 species
UACGGAGGGUGCAAGCGUUGUCCGGAAUCACUGGGCGUAAAGGGCGCGUAGGCGGCUCAUGAAGGCUGUGGUGAAAGUUCGGGGCUCAACCCUGAAUCGGCCGUCGAUACUCCCGGGCUUGAGCACUGUAGAGGCAGAUGGAAUUCCGGGUGUAGCGGUGGAAUGCGUAGAGAUCCGGAAGAACACCGGUGGCGAAGGCGGUCUGCUGGGCAGUUGCUGACACUGAGGCGCGACAGCGUGGGGAGCAAACAGG